CAAGAUAUAACUUUUUAGUAAGGUGAAUCAUUUACACUGAUUAUAUUUCUGUGCGAUUCAGGAUGUCUUGA
rnacentral:tRNA from 2 species